rnacentral:lncRNA from 1 species
CUGCACCAUCCACUGGAAAAGUAGAAGCAGCGCUAAAUGAAAAUACUUGCAGAGCAGAGCGUGAACUACGAAGCAUUCCAGAAGACUCAGAGUUAAAUACAGUUACAUUGCCAAGAAAAGCAAGAAUGAAAGACCAGUUUGGCAAUUCUAUUAUCAACACACCUCUGAAACGUCGUAAAGUGUUUUCUCAAGAACCUCCAGAUGCUUUAGCUUUAAGCUGCCAAAGUUCCUUUGACAGUGUCAUUUUAAACUGUCGAAGUAUACGAGUAGGAACACUCUUCCGGCUGUUAAUAGAGCCUGUAAUUUUUUGUUUAGAUUUUAUCAAGAUACAGCUAGACGAACCAGACCAUGAUCCUGUAGAGAUUAUAUUAAAUACCUCUGAUCUAACUAAAUGUGAAUGGUGUAAUGUCCGAAAAUUACCUGUAGUGUUUCUUCAAGCAAUUCCAGCAGUUUAUCAAAAGCUGAGCAUCCAACUGCAAAUGAAUAAGGAGGAUAAAGUUUGGAAUGAUUGUAAAGGAGUAAAUAAAUUAACAAAAGCUAAUGGCAGACUUGUUGCCUGUACAAGAACCUAUGAAGAGAGCAUCAAAGGAAGUUGUGGGCAAAAGGAAAACAAAAUUAAAACUGUAUCAUUUGAAUCUAAAAUACAACUUAGAAGCAAACAAGAAUUUCAGUUUUUUGAUGAAGAAGAAGAAACUGGAGAAAACCACACCAUCUUCAUUGGCCCAGUAGAAAAGUUGAUAGUAUAUCCACCACCUCCAGCUAAGGGAGGCAUCUCUGUUACCAAUGAGGACCUGCACUGUCUAAAUGAAGGAGAAUUUUUAAAUGAUGUUAUUAUAGACUUUUAUUUGAAGUAAGUUAAUUUUCCACUGAUCUUUUAUUAAAUCUUUAACAU